rnacentral:rRNA from 1 species
UACGUAGGGUGCAAGCGUUAAUCGGAAUUACUGGGCGUAAAGCGUACGCAGGCGGCUUUGCAAGACAGGUGUGAAAUCCCCGGGCUUAACCUGGGAACUGCACUUGUGACUGCACAGCUGGAGUACGGCAGAGGGGGAUGGAAUUCCGCGUGUAGCAGUGAAAUGCGUAGAUAUGCGGAGGAACACCGAUGGCGAAGGCAGUCCCCUGGGCCUGUACUGACGCUCAUGCACGAAAGCGUGGGGAGCAAACAGG